GCCUAGCCCUAAACAUAAGUAUUUUAAAGUAUUAUUAAUACUCGCCAGGGGACAACGAGCCUAGGCUUAAAACCCAAAGGACUUGGCGGUGCUUUAGACCCCCCUAGAGGAGCCUGUUCUAGAACCGAUACUCCCCGUUAAACCUCACCCUCCCUUGUUCACCCCGCCUAUAUACCGCCGUCGUCAGCUUACCCUGUGAAGGAUAAACAGUAAGCGAAAUUGGUAAAACCCAAAACGUCAGGUCGAGGUGUAGCGCACGAGAGGGGAAGAAAUGGGCUACAUUUACUGAAGCAGUAAAUACGGAUGACGAACUGAAAUCACGUCUAAAGGAGGAUUUAGUAGUAAGAGAAGAGUAGAGUGCUUCCCUGAAAACGGCCCUGAAGCGCGC
rnacentral:rRNA from 1 species